rnacentral:rRNA from 1 species
GACGAACGCUGGCGGCGUGCCUAAUACAUGCAAGUCGAGCGGACCGACGGGAGCUUGCUCCCUUAGGUCAGCGGCGGACGGGUGAGUAACACGUGGGUAACCUGCCUGUAAGACUGGGAUAACUCCGGGAAACCGGGGCUAAUACCGGAUGCUUGAUUGAACCGCAUGGUUCCAAUCAUAAAAGGUGGCUUUCAGCUACCACUUACUGAUGGACCCGCGGCGCAUUAGCUAGUUGGUGAGGUAACGGCUCACCAAGGCGACGAUGCGUAGCCGACCUGAGAGGGUGAUCGGCCACACUGGGACUGAGACACGGCCCAGACUCCUACGGGAGGCAGCAGUAGGGAAUCUUCCGCAAUGGACGAAAGUCUGACGGAGCAACGCCGCGUGAGUGAUGAAGGUUUUCGGAUCGUAAAACUCUGUUGUUAGGGAAGAACAAGUACCGUUCGAAUAGGGCGGCACCUUGACGGUACCUAACCAGAAAGCCACGGCUAACUACGUGCCAGCAGCCGCGGUAAUACGUAGGUGGCAAGCGUUGUCCGGAAUUAUUGGGCGUAAAGCGCGCGCAGGCGGUUUCUUAAGUCUGAUGUGAAAGCCCCCGGCUCAACCGGGGAGGGUCAUUGGAAACUGGGGAACUUGAGUGCAGAAGAGGAGAGUGGAAUUCCACGUGUAGCGGUGAAAUGCGUAGAGAUGUGGAGGAACACCAGUGGCGAAGGCGACUCUCUGGU